UACGUAGGUGGCAAGCGUUGUCCGGAAUUAUUGGGCGUAAAGCGCGCGCAGGCGGCCUUUUAAGUCUGAUGUGAAAGCCCACGGCUCAACCGUGGAAGGUCAUUGGAAACUGAAAGGCUUGAGUACAGAAGAGGAAAGCGGAAUUCCACGUGUAGCGGUGAAAUGCGUAGAGAUGUGGAGGAACACCAGUGGCGAAGGCGGCUUUCUGGUCUGUAACUGACGCUGAGGCGCGAAAGCCAGGGGAGCGAACGGG
rnacentral:rRNA from 1 species